AUGAACAGUUUUCAGGCGACAGGUCAGCCCACCGCCAUCAACAGUGUUCCAAGCUCGUCCAGUCCACAGGCCACAUGGCAGCCCCCGCGUUUUGACGAUGUGUCCAGUGUGAGUGGACACUCAGAAAGUGGUACAGCUUUCAUCUCCCAACCUCUCUUCAAUGAACCUGGAAAUGAAAAGGAGAGCAAUGUGCUGGAAAACACCCAGGAAGACUUGACAAUAUCAUGUAUAGAGCCAGAGCUGCAGUCUGUGGAGAGCAGGGAAGACUUGACAUUGUCAUGCAUAGAGCCAGAGCUGCAGUCUGUAGAGAGCAGGGAAGACUUGACAUUGUCAUGCAUAGAGCCAGAGCUGCAGUCUGUAGAGAGCAGGGAAGACUGGUCAAUAUCAGGCAUAGAGCCAGAGCUGCAGUCUGUAGAGAGCAGGUACUAUUUCUUUCUUUUUGAAGAUGACAUAAUAUCAGUAUACUAGUAUUUUACUAUAAAGUCAUGUCUGACAUCUAUUUUCAGAUUUCAUUGUUCACAUAACACAAUCUGUUGUCUUGCAGGGAAGACUGGUCAAUAUCAGGCAUAGAGCCAGAGCUGCAGUCUGUAGAGAGCAGGUACUAUUUCUUUCUUUUUGAAGAUGACAUAAUAUCAGUAUACUAGUAUUUUACUAUAAAGUCAUGUCUGACAUCUAUUUUCAGAUUUCAUUGUUCACAUAACACAAUCUGUUUUCUAAUAGCAUUAUUGUUUGUGUAUUAGAG
rnacentral:lncRNA from 1 species